rnacentral:rRNA from 1 species
GACGAACGCUGGCGGCGUGCUUAACGCAUGCAAGUCGAACGGAAAUGCCCUGCUUUUGUGGGGUGCUCGAGUGGCGAACGGGUGAGUAACACGUGAGUAACCUGCCCUUGACUUUGGGAUAACUUCAGGAAACUGGGGCUAAUACCGGAUAGGAGCUCCUGCUGCAUGGUGGGGGUUGGAAAGUUUCGGCGGUUGGGGAUGGACUCGCGGCUUAUCAGCUUGUUGGUGGGGUAGUGGCUUACCAAGGCUUUGACGGGUAGCCGGCCUGGGAGGGUGACCGGCCACAUUGGGACUGAGAUACGGCCCAGACUCCUACGGGAGGCAGCAGUGGGGAAUAUUGCACAAUGGGCGGAAGCCUGAUGCAGCAACGCCGCGUGUGGGAUGACGGCCUUCGGGUUGUAAACCGCUUUCGCCUGUGACGAAGCGUGAGUGACGGUAAUGGGUAAAGAAGCACCGGCUAACUACGUG